AGAGAGCGAGCGACUGAUCAUCGGUUUUGUCGCUAAGAAAAGGAAAAGGGGAAAUUUUACAAAGCUAAAAAUAUACUACUGAUUUAAAAAGGGGGGGGGGGGGGGGGGGGGGGGGGGGGGGGUCUUUUCCUUUUCUUAGCGACAAAACCGAUGAUCAGUCGCUCGUUCUCUGAA
rnacentral:pre_miRNA from 1 species